CUGCUAUAACAACAAUCCAUAUUUGUUCAGUUAUUUUUCUGACACUAUACAAGUAAAACUGACAAUUUCAGCUAACAGCAUAAACUUUUUUCCAUGGCAGAGCUUUGUGCAAGCCAGGGGGGUGGGGGGUGCCCCCAACCCUUGGAAGCAUCAUGCGUUGCUAAACCAUCUAGACAAAUUACAGUGACAACAGGUGUUUUCGGCAAUAUACUCUCAAGGCUGGCCCAUCCAAUUAUUUGCUAAGCUCCACCACUGCACACACCAUCAGCAGCAAUGCAAAGAACAUGCAUGAAUAUAUGUGAAGCACACCCCCUAUAAACACAAAAAGAAUUGCAAAGCCAAAGCUAGGACAAAAAUAGAAUUACAUAAGCCAAGAUUUGAUGCAACUAUGCUAGAAUUACUAGCAUGUGCUAAGAGUUCACACCAGAACUUGAACUCUAGUAAUGGCUAAGGUGUAACCCCAACACUCCACCCCCACAUGAGGUGGUACCUGUAUUACAAAUCAAUAGUGCUCCCAAAACGAUGAAAGUAGUGGACGCAUGGAUCCAAUAAUGAUGGAACAGAAGCCUGGCAUAUAUGAAAAAACACAAAUCAUUGUGU
rnacentral:lncRNA from 1 species